rnacentral:rRNA from 1 species
AUUGAACGCUGGCGGCAUGCCUUACACAUGCAAGUCGAACGGCAGCACGGGUGCUUGCCCCUGGUGGCGAGUGGCGAACGGGUGAGUAAUACAUCGGAACAUGUCCUGUAGUGGGGGAUAGCCCGGCGAAAGCCGGAUUAAUACCGCAUACGAUCUACGGAUGAAAGCGGGGGACCUUCGGGCCUCGCGCCAUAGGGUUGGCCGAUGGCUGAUUAGCUAGUUGGUGGGGUAAAGGCCUACCAAGGCGACGAUCAGUAGCUGGUCUGAGAGGACGACCAGCCACACUGGGACUGAGACACGGCCCAGACUCCUACGGGAGGCAGCAGUGGGGAAUUUUGGACAAUGGGCGAAAGCCUGAUCCAGCAAUGCCGCGUGUGUGAAGAAGGCCUUCGGGUUGUAAAGCACUUUUGUCCGGAAAGAAAUCCUUGGCCCUAAUACGGUCGGGGGAUGACGGUACCGGAAGAAUAAGCACCGGCUAACUACGUG